rnacentral:rRNA from 1 species
AUGGGGAAGGCAAUAACAUAUAAGCGUACUAGAAGAGCAGAGAAUGACGUAACCAGGUAUGGGGCAUCAUCUAUGCAAGGGUGCCGUGAUGAAAUGGAAGCUACUUGGAAAUCUCACGUACAUCUACUUGAUUGUGAACCAACAUUAUUUUUUGGUGUUUAUGAUGGCCAUGGAGGAGCGGAAGUAGCAUCUUAUUGUUCGAGGAAGUUUCAUGAAGAGCUUAAAAAGGAUCCAAGCUAUGUCCUCAAUCUGCCCGGCGCAUUGAAGAAUGUGUAUUCCAGCAUUGAUGAGAAGUUGCAAGAAUCAGAUGAAUGGAGGAGGGACUUGGCUUAUUCUCCUGGCAACAAAAAUUUGAUAAGGUGGCUAUGGACUGAUGUUUGUGGUGCUAACUGGCUCCCCAAGGAAGGAAGCACAGCAUGCGUGGCUGUCAUCAGGGGCAACCGUAUCUAUGUUGCAAAUGUGGGUGAUUCCCGUUGUGUGCUCUCAAGGAAUGGUCAGGCAAUUGAUCUCUCGAUGGAUCACAAACCAAACUACCGACAUGAAAGGAAGAGAAUUGAAAAGGCAGGAGGACUAGUGCGCAUGGAUGAUAUCCCAAAGAAAGUUAUGGCUGACAUGAAGUUGGGCAUCCAUCGCAUUGAGGGAAUAUUACACAUAUCCAGAUCGAUUGGUGAUUUUCAGUUCAAGCAGGACCCGACUUUGUCGCGUCAAGAUCAAAUGGUGACAUGUUGUCCAGACAUAUGUGAUGGAUGUCAUGACAAGUCGGCAGGUGGUUAA